AUGCUACCCGGACUACAUUGUUUCGUGUUUCCGUCCCCUUCACUUCUCUCCCUUUCUUCUCCAUCCAGCAAGUUCAGCGCAGCGGCGGGGAUCUCCCAUGGCGCGGCUGCGCCGGCGUCGCCACAUCAGGUUGUGCGGGCUGCAUCUAGGUCCUUCCUCUUUUCUCCCUGGGCUGUGAUGAGGUCAGCUUGCACCGUGCUGGAUGAACCAACUAGGAGGUCGCACGGGCUUCGCUCUUCACCAAAUGCUCACAGCAUUGAGCCGGCUCAUGACCCAUGCUCCUCGAGCUCGUCGCUGUGAGGGGUGUUCUCCGCUAGUACUAUUUUCUCCAUUUCCCGUUGGUUUGUGUGUGAGAUGGGUUUUACUAGGUUUGAUAUUUGUAUUUGGUUGUCUGUUGAUUUGCAGCUAUAGGCCUCCAGCUCCUGGCCGGCAGCCCACUCACCGCCUCUUUAGAUCCAGGCUGGGUGCUGUGUCCUUUGCAGGUGAGCAUUUCUAGUUCCCUCCUCUCUGUAUCUGGUUCACCCCAUAUGGAUUCCAUGAUUGCAUUGCAUCAUAUUCCCCCUCCAUUUCAUGGAGUAAGCAUUGCCAACUAUGCUCCUGGAUCUCGAUUUCUGUUGGUCUGGAGCUUCUGUACUUGUUUUCCCCGAUAGAUGUGUAGUGUGUCUCGAUUUGUGCUAUUCUAGGAUUUCCUCUUGUGUUUAUCUGUGAUUUGCACCUGCGCUAUAUAUAUAAUUAGGCUUCUGAAUAGGUAAUAAUGGCAUCCGAUGAUAUUGCAAUAGAAUCCUCACUUCAAAUUUCGUUUAAGUGUAAUUUGUGCAUAGGACAACUAUAAGAAUCUUAAUCUCUAUAUUUCACAAUAUUUUAUAGUGUCAUUUUUCUUCAUGUAUGUAAUUCUAAAGAUAAUGCAUGUGCCCCUUUAUCACUGUGUGUCCUUUAUAUGGCCCCUUUGCCUUGUGUUUCUACUUUCCUGAUUCUUUUUGUGUUGGGGCCAGAAGGGUGUUAGUUUAUUCCUGCCAAUUCUAAUUAUAAUAAUUACAUAUGAGUCCAAAUGGAGCAAAAAAAAUUACUCUACCUCCACUGCAAGGGGUCAGGAUCCUUCUUUUGCAAGCAAGGUAUUUUUCAAGUUUCUUUCCCUAUUAUAGUUUAAAUAUGUUAUAGUUACAGAGAACGAUUUUGUUGUAUCUUAUGUUCUUGCUGGAUGUAAUUUUUUAGUUUGAGGGGUAUAAUCAGUCCUCUUUUAUUCAAUAUUUAGUAGCAUCUGUUCAUAUAUGCAUCUUUGUGGAUUUUAUUUUUGGUGUAUCAACUCGUGCCUAUUCUGUUAAGAUGUGCUGCUACUUUCUUGGAACAUUUAUCAUUUUUUUUGUGUGACACUACAUUCUGGUAGUUGAACUUCCUCUUUUAUUUCAACUAGAGUUGCCUAAUACUAUACUUACACCCCCAAAUUUUGGUGCAUCUUGUGUGUAUGGCCACUAUAAUUUAAAAAAUAUGUGUGCAACUUACAUUAAUCAUUUAUUUUAUUCAUUCUGCAGCAACCAUGUCUUGCUACUAUCCAUUUCUAUUGCCACUUCUAUGUGGUUUUUCUUUUAUGUCUGUUUUCAGAUGCCACAUUGUGCCAACUCUGGAUAUUUUUAAAAUACUCUGGAUAUGAUGUAAAUUGAUUUAAUUCUGAAUUUCUAUUUUCUCCAUGUGUUGAAUUGAUUAACUUGAACUCUUGUUUUUGCUAGAACAACAAUAGUCUGGUACUUAACUUUGUAUGGCAAAUGAUGGUCAUUUAUAAAGCUAUUUACUAUAUAAAGCUCAUAUUACCCAGCUAGGAAUAUUUUUGAACUACUAAUGUCAGUUUCAGUUAAUAAAGCUAUUAGAACAAUUUUUUUUACUUCUCUAGUUUCUGGCAUAUCUAACAGUCUAGACCAGUAACUGAGCUGUCUCUAAAACCUUUGUAUGAACUUUUAUGCAUCAGGUUUCCACCGGUUUCCACCCUACGUUGAUUGGCACCAGAAAGAGUAGCUUUCUGAUAGUCAGUACUUUGUCAAGCAGUGGGUCUCAUGAUGGCACUUAAAAGGCUCCAUAUACACGGAUCUCGCUUUUUACAGGAGGUAUGAUCUCGGAUUCUUUGGCGAUGGCAUAUGUUGUUCAGUGUUUAACAGUAUAAACGCGAGCAUAUGCCAAUCUCCUGGUGCAGCUUUCUUCUUAUGUUGUUUAGUGUUACAUCUAUCAGGUUACAGGGUUGUUGAUUGAUGGUUGUAUCUUGCAUGGCCCAUUUAGAAAACAAUAUUAUGUAAUUUCAUUGACCUUUGGCAUUAUCAAUUUAUUAUUAAAUCAUUUUUCAUAGUCGACUUAGCUGUUUUGAUUAGGUAUGUUAUACCUAUCGUCCAUGGGGCUACUUUAAGGAAUUGCUUUCCCCCCACUUUGUUCAACCUAGAAUGACCACUAUGUUUCAUACAGAUAGCCAAUUUAGUGGCUGGAAUAUCAUUUCAUUUACUGUUCUCCCUUUCCCUUGUGCAUUCCUCAUGAAUGCCUAUUUUUUACUUUCAUAUUCUAACAUUCCGCGAUUUACUAAUUUCACAUGAUCUUAAUGUCUUUUCAUUUUGUUACAACUGUUUUGGCAACCAAUAUUAUUAUUAUUAUUACCCUUGGAGGUUGUUAAGUUCUAUCUUACAAGGUGCAUACUUAAUCCUCUCAUUGUACAUUGUCUUAACAAAACUAAGAUUCAAACCUUCUACUUCUAGCAACUAAUGUCUUUUCUUGCAUUCUGUUGGAAGAAAAUAUUUAUACAUAGGUGUUCUUCACACAUCCCUUGUUUAACCUUAUUUUGUUUGUGUUGUUUUUUAAGAUAAACAUGGACUUGUCUUGUGACGACUAUGGAUGUCUAGGCUUUGCUGAUAUAUAUCUAUCAUUUUUAAGUAGUUAAGUUAUUAAAUUUUGGAAUACAAGAACUAUAAUUAUUAACAUGGACCUGUCUUGUUUUUUCAGGCCAAAAUUUUCUGAUUUUCGUUAUUCAUAUGUGUUUUUUUUUCUUGUUAUCAGCCCAAAAAUUGUACCUCUAAACCUCUAUUUUUAAGCUGUUUUUUCUUGUCAUCAUCCAAAAAUUUGCACUAUAAAUGUGUGUGUUUUCAGAUGUAUUUUUUUCUUGUUAUCAGACUAGAAAUUGUACCAGUAAAUGUGUAUUUUCUUCUUUAGAUCUGUGGGUUUUUGCUUGUUAUAUCAGCUUAGAAAUUGUACCUAUAAAUGUCUGAGUAAAUAUAACUUUAUUAUCAGCUAAAAAUUGUACAUAGGAAAUGAAAGCUUGGAGUCUGAGCAGCAGGAUCACCGGUCACAUAUAAUCUGAGCUGAGGGGUGUGUGUGUUACAGAGCUUCUUUCCUCAAAGCUCUAUAAGUGGCCACUUUUGCUUAAUUUUUAACUCAUUUUGCUGCGUUUUUUGGAUUGCGACACUGAUGAUGAAUGUCUUCUGAUUUUAUUUCAUUUUGUAUCUUACUGAGCAUGUGGAGCGAGUUGUUUUUCUCCUUUGCUUGAGACAUUAAGCCGAGAUUUUCUGAAAGUGACUCCAAGCCUGAGGAUCGAGUAUCAAUAUUAGUCAUUUGACAAGAUCAAGGUGCCAUGACCUCUUCAUCUAAGAAAUCUGCUUUGCUGUGGCUCAUGAGGAACUAAUAGUCUUCAUUAUCCUAAUCAAUAUAUAUUGGGAAAUGGAGAAUAAAAUAACUCAACACGCUUGAAUAUAUAUUUUUAUAGCUGUAAAUUUCUGUUGUGUAGAAACACAGGCAUGCAGCAAGAGGAACAGAUGGAGGACCUUUAGUAUAUAGUAGUAGAUGUUAGCUGCAUGUGAUUGUGUGAUAUGAGUCUUAUUAUAUGCAAAUUACAUGGAUUUUGGUAAUUGUGAUUUUUUUAGCAAAAUUAUAAUUGUAACUUUGUUGUUGCUGAAA